ACGGGUGAGUAACACGUGGGAACGUACCCUUUGGUUCGGAAUAACGCUGGGAAACUAGCGCUAAUACCGGAUACGCCCUUUUGGGGAAAGGCUUGCUGCCGAAGGAUCGGCCCGCGUCUGAUUAGCUAGUUGGUGGGGUAAUGGCCUACCAAGGCGACGAUCAGUAGCUGGUCUGAGAGGAUGAUCAGCCACACUGGGACUGAGACACGGCCCAGACUCCUACGGGAGGCAGCAGUGGGGAAUAUUGGACAAUGGGCGCAAGCCUGAUCCAGCCAUGCCGCGUGAGUGAUGAAGGCCUUAGGGUUGUAAAGCUCUUUUGUCCGGGACGAUAAUGACGGUACCGGAAGAAUAAGCCCCGGCUAACUUCGUGCCAGCAGCCGCGGUAAUACGAAGGGGGCUAGCGUUGCUCGGAAUCACUGGGCGUAAAGGGCGCGUAGGCGGCCAUUCAAGUCGGGGGUGAAAGCCAGUGGCUCAACCACAGAAUUGCCUUCGAUACUGUUUGGCUUGAGUUUGGUAGAGGUUGGUGGAACUGCGAGUGUAGAGGUGAAAUUCGUAGA
rnacentral:rRNA from 1 species